UACGUAGGGGGCAAGCGUUGUCCGGAUUUACUGGGCGUAAAGAGCGUGUAGGCGGCCACGCAGGUCCGUUGUGAAAACUGGAGGCUCAACCUCCAGCUGUCGACGGAAACCGUGUGGCUAGAGUCCGGAAGAGGAGAGUGGAAUUCCUGGUGUAGCGGUGAAAUGCGCAGAUAUCAGGAAGAACACCCGUGGCGAAAGCGGCUCUCUGGGACGGUACUGACGCUGAGACGCGAAAGCGUGGGGAGCGAACAGG
rnacentral:rRNA from 1 species